CAAAAGCUUUUGGCUUCUGAAUUAGUAUACCUUCUGAAUAGACUUGUAAACAGGAUUUAUGUUAUCCGUGUGCAACUGUAAAAAACAACUGUAGAACCCACUGGAUUGUAAUUUACAAGUCUACAAGAGUCCUAAAUUCCAGAAACCUCACUCACCCAUUCUCACUAAUUUCUAGCGUGCAGCUGGAAUUUAUUCCUUCUGUCCCAGACGAUACCUUCUUAGAAAUUCUUUUUCUAAUGGACAGCCUAUGACUUCAGAGCAUAACACUGCUACCUCUUCCUAGAUUCCUCAGAAGUUCACGGGAGAUCUCUGAGCCCCAGUCUGGUUCUGGAUUUUUUUUAAGGCUUCCUUCUUUUCAAAAAAGCCCACCACCUAUAAAACCUUGCUGCAAUGAUAAUUAAGAACCAUGGUUAUAUUUGGCACCUCCGUUUUCAAAGAUUAACUGGUGGGGUUUCUCUUUUUUUUUUUUUCCCUUCUAGAAAGCCUCCUGCAUUUGUCCUCAACUGAGACUCCCAAGUUAGGAAAGCAAGUUUUUUUCUGGCAUAAGACUGCAGCUGCUAUUAUUUACCCCUCAGGGGAUAAACAGCAAAUCCCAAGUCUUACAGCUGGGAACACUGUGGUCUGGCUGUGCAAGCAUACAAGCAUAUAAAAGAAAUCAAGACAAAAGCAGAGUGGGGUUCACACGCCGGCCAUCUGGGUUACAGUAGAUUGGGUAAAGCUCUCCUGUUAUAAGCCCUGCCACAGAACCCUUAAGACUCUUGGUGAGCAAAACCACAUUCAGCAAAACUUCAAUAGGCCGGGAACCUUCUCUACCAAAGAGCUCUUUCACUAGGCCAAGCAUGUGAUCUUUUAAUUGCCUUUCCUCUAGCCCUCCCUCCCUAACCCCACCUUCUACCUUUAUCCUUUCCUCAGAAACUUCCUCCUAGUUUACACCUUAACCCCUUUGAAGGAUCUGAAGGUGGAGGCUCAGUUGGGUGGCGGGUUAUAAAUCAUAGCAGCGGACUGUGGCAUGGGGGUGGAGCCACAAGAGGGUGGGACUGUAAUUUGAAAUCAAAUGAUCCUCUUUCAUCCCAGUCGAAUUUUUAUUUUAAAGCUUUGCCAUUUUGGCAAGGCACUUUUAGAUCAAGCAGGAGCGAGAGUUGCCCAUAGGUUGUCUGUAACUGUUUAUGCAAAACUUGAAACCUGAAAAAGUCCUGUUGUUUAACAAGUCUCAACAAUUGUUUUCACAUUUUCAAAGCAGGUAAAGCAUAGCAUCAACCAUCUAUUCUCCAUAAUUCAGAAAUUUCACAAAAUGACAUGUCAGAUCUGAC